rnacentral:rRNA from 1 species
UCUUGUGAAAUCUAAUGGCUUAACCAUUAAACUGCUUGGGAAACUGAUAGUCUAGAGUGAGGGAGAGGCAGAUGGAAUUGGUGGUGUAGGGGUAAAAUCCGUAGAUAUCACCAAGAAUACCCAUUGCGAAGGCGAUCUGCUGGAACUCAACUGACGCUAAGGCGCGAAAGCGUGGGGAGCAAACAGGAUUAGAUACCCUGGUAGUCCACGCCCUAAACGAUGUACACUAGUUGUUGGGGUGCUAGUCAUCUCAGUAAUGCAGCUAACGCAUUAAGUGUACCGCCUGGGGAGUACGGUCGCAAGAUUAAAACUCAAAGGAAUAGACGGGGACCCGCACAAGCGGUGGAGCAUGUGGUUUAAUUCGAAGAUACGCGAAGAACCUUACCUGGGCUUGAUAUCCUAAGAACCUUUUAGAGAUAAGAGGGUGCUAGCUUGCUAGAACUUAGAGACAGGUGCUGCACGGCUGUCGUCAGCUCGUGUCGUGAGAUGUUGGGUUAAGUCCCGCAACGAGCGCAACCCACGUAUUUAGUUGCUAACGGUUCAGCCGAGCACUCUAAAUAGACUGCCUUCGUAAGGAGGAGGAAGGUGUGGACGACGUCAAGUCAUCAUGGCCCUUAUGCCCAGGGCGACACACGUGCUACAAUGGCAUAUACAAUGAGACGCAAUACCGCGAGGUGGAGCAAAUCUAUAAAAUAUGUCCCAGUUCGGAUUGUUCUCUGCAACUCGAGAGCAUGAAGCCGGAAUCGCUAGUAAUCGUAGAUCAGCCAUGCUACGGUGAAUACGUUCCCGGGUCUUGUACUCACCGCCCGUCACACCAUGGGAGUUGAUUUCACUCGAAGCCGGAAUACUAAACUAGUUACCGUCCACAGUGGAAUCAGCGACUGGGGUGAAGUCGUAACAAGGUAACCGUAGGAGAACCUGCGGUUGGAUCACCUCCUUU